ensembl:snoRNA U3 Small nucleolar RNA U3
AAGACUAUGCUUUCAGGGAUUAUUUCUAUAGCUUGCUACUGGAGAUUUUUCUCUGACUGUGUAGAGUACCAGGAACCAUGAGGAGGAGGCUUAGUGCUCUUUCCCGAGCAUGAACACUGAUCCUGGUGUUGCUUCACUUUAUCCACCACUUGUCACUGAUGAUUGUUCCUGCUCUCCUUCAUGGGAGCUGAAGGGAGAGGAUGCAGUCUGAGUGGC